UGUGUAGCUGCCUCUGGCUUCCUACGAUCAAUAGUGUAGCGCACUCGCCCGGCGCUGCGGCCGAAGAGCGCCCGGCUGGGGUACGGGUGCCGGGCAGGACAGGAGUGGAGGUGGUCAGGUCGGGGUUUAGGAAGGCCGCUGACCAGUCCCACAGUCUAAACGGGGUCAGAUUCGCUUCAAAGAAGAAUCGCUGAUCUCUGGUCGUUCGCAGCGAAAAAGACCCCACAGUUACUACGUCAGGACGAUUUAUCGCAGUAGGACACGACACAGGAGAGCUUGUUGCUGGAAGAGCUGGGUUACAAGAGUGUUCAAGGACGUCGACCACCUGACAUUUAAUCAUAAAGCCCUUGAGGUGACAAGUCCCUUGUCGAAGAAAACGUACACCGAUUGAUAUUUUACAUCAAACACAGAUUCUAUUGCCAGCUGAGAUGUCAUUUUUCUGAACAUUCAAAGCUUUUGUAUCUGAAUCACAACAGCCAGGCUGCUGUCUUGGGGACCUUUCAGAUCUCUGAGUGAAAAUGGCCAACUCCAGUGGGGUGCGUGCAGUCCCAGCCGAAACCGCAGGCUACCCUGAAAUGGGAAAAGAGGCCAUAGAUUAUGCUCCAGCAACACGCGUCAAAACUGGGAAAGAGUGCUACAACUUUACCGCCCGGAAAACCCAGGCCAGGUAUCCCCCACCCUGGCCCGGCCCCCAAACAGCAGGUGUUGUCCAGUCCAUCUUCAUUGCCUAAUUGAAGUCUUAAUUGAACUAAUAAGAUGCUUGAUUGGAAUCUUUGCAAGAUAUUUUCUCCCCAAGAGUUUGGGGUUCUAUUCAUGAAAUGCAAGAGUUUAAAUGCAGCCUCUAACGUGUUUAAGA